rnacentral:rRNA from 1 species
ACGCACGCUGGCGGCGUGCUUCACACAUGCAAGUCGCACGGUGAAGCUCCAGCUUGCUGGAGUGGAUCAGUGGCGAACGGGUGAGUAACACGUGAGCAACCUGCCCCUGACUCUGGAAUAAGCGCUGGAAACGGCGUCUAAUACUGGAUACGAGAAGGGUCCGCAUGGGCACUUUCUGGAAAGUUUUUCGGUUGGGGAUGGGCUCGCGGCCUAUCAGCUUGUUGGUGAGGUAAUGGCUCACCAAGGCGACGACGGGUAGCCGGCCUGAGAGGGCGACCGGCCACACUGGGACUGAGACACGGCCCAGACUCCUACGGGAGGCAGCAGUGGGGAAUAUUGCACAAUGGGCGAAAGCCUGAUGCAGCGACGCCGCGUGAGGGAUGACGGCCUUCGGGUUGUAAACCUCUUUCAGCAGGGAAGAAGCGAAAGUGACGGUACCUGCAGAAGAAGCACCGGCUAACUACGUG